rnacentral:ribozyme from 11 species
AAGAAAGAAAGAAAAAAAGAAGGAACUAGAACAAGUGAAUUCAGACAUUCAUUUCGUGACACCGAAUCCCCCCCCCACUCCACCCCCCCAGAGAGCUAGCUAUUUUCUCUUCCCUUCCAUUAAAAUUUAGAAGCAAUACCAUUUUCUUUCUCUUCACAAAUCGAGACCACCUCGCUUUCUGAAUUCUUUACAAACAGGAGAAACAGCACGAACAAACGAACAACGAGAAAGCAAAAGAAAAGAAUC